rnacentral:rRNA from 1 species
UACGGGGGGAGCAAGCGUUGUUCGGAUUUACUGGGCGUAAAGGGCGCGUAGGCGGCCACCGCAAGUCGGUUGUGAAAUCUCUGGGCUUAACCCAGAAAGGUCAACCGAUACUGCGGGGCUAGAGUGCAGAAGGGGCAACUGGAAUUCUCGGUGUAGCGGUGAAAUGCGUAGAUAUCGAGAGGAACACCUGCGGCGAAGGCGGGUUGCUGGGCUAACACUGACGCUGAAGCGCGAAAGCUAGGGGAGCGAACGGG